GCGGCGCCGGCGCAGCUCCGGCCCGAGAGCGGCGGGGGCGGAGCGCGGCCCAGGCGGCGGCCGGGCUGAGCCGGGCGGCGCCGCGGGGAGAGUUUUAAGAAGCUGGAUUUCAUGACACCAAUGAGCAAAUGAUCUACUGCCAUUGCUCUUCCAAUUGUGUUGAAACUGUGACAUCACCCUUGUCUCCAUUCAGCUGAUUUUGAAGAUCAUAAUGCAGCAGAAAAAUGAAAAGCCAUAGAAGACAUUUACUUUGGCAAAGAAGUCAGCUGCUGGCCCAGUCUGGAAGAUGGACCGCUGGUUUUGGGAAACUUGGGAAAUACUGCUUCCAAAAGAAAGUUUUCCUAACUUAGAAGAGAAGACAGAGUGCUCAGCUAUUUGUGAGCUUAAAUCACAACAAACUGUGCAGAAGACUGUGGUGCAGAAGGAAGACACUUGAAUUCCAAAGCAGGUGGGCUCGUGAUGUUCUUCUAAAUGCAGAAACCUAUCCAACACCUACUGUUGAAGUAGUUACAAAAACUACUGAGAGCAAAAAGAUACUGUCCCUAUCACAAAGCUGAAAGCUCACCUGGAGAAGCAGUAAGGAAACUCAACAAUGAAUCC